rnacentral:rRNA from 1 species
AGAGUUUGAUCCUGGCUCAGGAUGAACACUGGCGGCGUGCCUAAUACAUGCAAGUCGAACGCGCAGCGAGAGGUGCUUGCACCUUUCAAGCGAGUGGCGAACGGGUGAGUAACACGUGGAUAACCUGCCUCAAGGCUGGGGAUAACAUUUGGAAACAGAUGCUAAUACCGAAUAAAACUUAGUAUCGCAUGAUAUAAAGUUAAAAGGCGCUACGGCGUCACCUAGAGAUGGAUCCGCGGUGCAUUAGUUAGUUGGUGGGGUAAAGGCUUACCAAGACAAUGAUGCAUAGCCGAGUUGAGAGACUGAUCGGCCACAUUGGGACUGAGACACGGCCCAAACUCCUACGGGAGGCUGCAGUAGGGAAUCUUCCACAAUGGGCGCAAGCCUGAUGGAGCAACGCCGCGUGUGUGAUGAAGGCUUUCGGGUCGUAAAGCACUGUUGUAUGGGAAGAAAUGCUAAAAUAGGGAAUGAUUUUAGUUUGACGGUACCAUACCAGAAAGGGACGGCUAAAUACGUGCCAGCAGCCGCGGUAAUACGUAUGUCCCGAGCGUUAUCCGGAUUUAUUGGGCGUAAAGCGAGCGC